UACGGGGGGGGCAAGCGUUGUUCGGAAUUACUGGGCGUAAAGGGCGCGUAGGCGGCCUUCUAAGUCGGACGUGAAAUCCCUCGGCUUAACCGAGGAACUGCGUCCGAUACUGAAAGGCUUGAAUCCGGGAGAGGGAUGUGGAAUUCCAGGUGUAGCGGUGAAAUGCGCAGAUAUCGGGAGGAACACCGGUGGCGAAGGCGGUUCUCUGGGCCUGUACUGACGCUGAGGAGCGAAAGCGUGGGGAGCAAACGGG
rnacentral:rRNA from 1 species